rnacentral:rRNA from 1 species
AGUGAACGCUGGCGGUAGGCCUAACACAUGCAAGUCGAACGGCAGCACAGUAAGAGCUUGCUCUUACGGGUGGCGGGUGGCGGACGGGUGAGGAAUACAUCGGAAUCUACUUUUUCGUGGGGGAUAACGUAGGGAAACUUACGCUAAUACCGCAUACGACCUACGGGUGAAAGCAGGGGAUCUUCGGACCUUGCGCGAUUGAAUGAGCCGAUGUCGGAUUAGCUAGUUGGCGGGGUAAAGGCCCACCAAGGCGACGAUCCGUAGCUGGUCUGAGAGGAUGAUCAGCCCCCCUGGAACUGAGACACGGUCCAGACUCCUUCGGGAGGCAGCAGUGGGGAAUAUUGGACAAUGGGCGCAAGCCUGAUCCAGCCAUACCGCGUGGGUGAAGAAGGCCUUCGGGUUGUAAAGCCCUUUUGUUGGGAAAGAAAAGCAGCAGGUUAAUACCCCGCUGUUCUGACGGUACCCAAAGAAUAAGCACCGGCUAACUUCGUG